rfam:Triticum aestivum genome assembly, contig: Triticum_aestivum_CS42_TGACv1_scaffold_273615_3DS
UAAAUACUCCCUCCGUCCGGAAUUACUUGUCGUAGAAAUGGAUAAAAAUGGAUAUAUCUAGAACUAAAAUACGUCUAGAUACAUUCAUUUAUAAGACAAGUAUUUUCGGACGGAGGGAGUAUAAG